GUUCCACGACGCUAGCGUUGUUGUUGUUCUCUACUUCUCUUCACUUCGAUUCUUCUGCAACUUAUGAAGAAACAAUCGACAUUGAAAUAGAAUUUGGCUUACCUUAGCUUCCUUUCCCGACUUCAAUUUUUAUGACUAUGGCUAGUUCGAACACUCCUAUACCUGUGGACGAUGGGUUUAAUGAGUACGAAAGUGCUGUCAAACGUCAAAAGUCUACCACUUCAAAGGUGUGGGAUGAAAUGACAAAGCUUGAAUGCGAGAACAAAAAUGAAUUGAAGGCACAAUGUAAUCACUGUAAGACUAUCUUCUCUGCUAAGUCUUCUAGUGGAACCUCUCAUUUAAGACGUCAUCUAAAUAGUUGUUUGAAAAAAGUUAAUAAGGACAUCACUCAAUACACCAUAGCCACUCAGCCAUCACCCGAAGGUGUUCCAUCUAUAAAAAACUACAAGUUUGAUGCUGAUGAGUGUCGUAAAGCUAUUUCUACUUUUCUUGUUUGUGGCAAACAUUCAUUUAGGACAGUUGAAGAACCGGGAUUUAGAUACAUGAUGAGAAUUGCUAGUCCUAAUUUUAAAAAUAUAAGUAGAUAUACAGCUGCUAGGGAUGUCCUAAUGUAUUAUGCAAAAGAGAGAGAUCGUGUUAAAGAAGAGUUGGCUAAAGCACC